UACGUAGGGGGCUAGCGUUGUCCGGAUUUAUUGGGCGUAAAGAGCGUGUAGGCGGCCAGGUAGGUCUGGUGUGAAAACUCGAGGCUUAACCUCGAGAUGUCAUCGGAAACCAUCUGGCUAGAGUCCGGAAGAGGAGAGUGGAAUUACUGGUGUAGCGGUGAAAUGCGCAGAUAUCAGGAAGAACACCAAUGGCGAAAGCAGCUCUCUGGGACGGUACUGACGCUGAGACGCGAAAGCGUGGGGAGCAAACAGG
rnacentral:rRNA from 1 species